rnacentral:misc_RNA from 2 species
CCCAACUAUCCCUAUUAAUCAUUACAUCGAUCCUAGAAACCAACAAAAUAGAAUCUGAUGUCCUAUUUCAUUAUUCCAUGCUAAUGUAUUCAAGCGUAAGCUUGCUUUAAACACUCUAAUUUUUUCAAGGUAACAGUCCUAAUUCCCCAUAACAUCAAAUAAAUGACAUUAUGGUUCUUUAGAAGGUGAGAACCAAUAAAACCAGUACAUACCAAGGCAUGACCGAUUCCUUGAUCCCGAAAUUCAACUACGAGCUUUUUAACUGCAACAACUUUAAUAUACGCUAUUGGAGCUGGAAUUACCGCGGCUGCUGGCACCAGACUUGCCCUCCAA